AUUUGGUUUCCUGAUGUAGAGAAUCAUCCAUGUUCUUCAGCCUUUGAUUUUGAUCGGUUAAUUCGUGGUUAGCUUGAAGAGAGACAACCAGUCAAGUUUAAUUAGUUGAGUAAAACCGAUGGCCAAGGAGAGUAUUCGGAUCAGCCGGAUCCUUGUGAUGGUUCUGAACCGAGAGUGAUCCAGAAGUGAAGUGUGAUUAGCUUGAGCUCGAGUCUAGUCUUCCUUAGCCAAUCUCAUGGAUUUAAAGGUGAGUCUAGAUAGAUGAUGAAUGAAUUAUGAAUGAGUAUGCAUGAUUGCAUAUUGAAUAUGGUUGAUUAAUUAAGAAUUA